CGAACUGUUUUAUUAUGGUGUAAGGUUUGUGUAAUUUCUGACACAAUGCAGGAGAAGGAUGUUAGGUUGACUUGGUCUGUAAUAGUGGACGAAAUAAAACGUCAAGAUUUGUUAACUCCUGAUGCAAGAUCGUGAUUUUUGAGCAAAAUACUGAUGGUUAUGGAUGUACAGAAAUUGCAAUGCUUACGUACAUCAAUUGACCAAUUCCGAUUACGACCAGUUCAAUAUUUCACUCGUUUCACCUUAUUCUUAAUUUUUAUAUAAGAAAAUUGUACAUUUUAGCACCCCAUUUUUCAGUCUUUUUUCUUUAUUUUUUUUUUUGCACAUUUUUUCUUCUUUCUUUUGCGGGGGGGGGGGGGGUAUUUUCUUUUCUGUUAAUCGCCUCUUUUAUUUGGCUAAUUUCUAAGAAAGAUCAGAUAUUCAAGCGUCAAGCGGGAUAUGUUAAAAGUGAAGAAGUAUCUACAAUGAGAAGCUGUUUAAUUGGUCGCUUUUUUGUAGUAUCUUUUAAAAUUUGGUAAGAUUAAUAUGGUACAACCAACUAACAAAGAUGGGGUUAUCAACUUACAUUUUUAAUUUUCAUAUGCUUUUACAGAAUUAUGAGACAUAUUUCAG
rnacentral:lncRNA from 1 species